CACAGCAACCGAGGCAGCAGCAAGUGAACAUCAAGCUGCUCUUCACUGCAGUGGAAUACGAAGGGCAUUCUCUAGCGAUGCAACUGACAGGAGCAGCCAGCUACAGCAGCUGCAUGAAGUGCAGUAUUGAUGGGAAUUACUUUCCUGGUCUCAGGAAAGUAAUUCUUGCUGAUAAUAGGAGGUUCCUACCAGCUGAGAGCACCCUCAGACAUGCCAACAGAGGCGUUUUUCUGGCUGAGAAUAUUUCGACAGCAAAUGCAGAACUACUGCCACAGCCAGAAAAUAAAACAGAUGCUGGCAAAAGAAUUGCAGCUGCAGAAUAUAUUGCAGCAUAACACAUUGGCAACCGAAACGAAAUGAGGAGGAUAAGCGAGAAAGCGGAACAAAAGGAGUAACGCACCUCCAUCGCGUUCCAGGCUUCAACCUAGUUUGCAGUCCGGUCAUUGAUGCGGUGCACACGAUUAUCAACAUUCUUGGCCGCAUCAUGAACCUGCUACUGAAGCGCCAACCUGAUGAUAGCAGGAGAGUGCGCUUACAGGUGCCCACACGAAAGGAGUUAUGGUCUACUGCCUGCGGGGAUGCCUGGGAAUUGUGCAGCGGAUCACAAUAUUCAUGUACUGCCAGUGCAUCCAGCAGCUUUACUCGCCUGCAACAGAAGAAGAAAGGUUAGCGACGCAGAUGCCUCAAUGAAUUCAUCGAUGAAUUACAUGCAGUUCAUGGAGCGAGCAGCGGGUGCGCCACUAACCACCAUCAUGACUCUGCAUGGACAUUCUCGGGUUAUACAAGCUGAUGACAGCUUACAUGGAAAACUCGACGAGUUUGUCCAAAAUUACGUAGAGGGUGCGGGUGCACUCGUUGAGGCCUACGAGGCCCAACGAUUUCCCGCGACAAUCCGGGGCGAGUGGGAGCCACCUUGCCACCUGCGGAUACCGCACUACGAGGACAUUCUCUGUGGUCCUCCGCGAGAGGUGACAGAGUUUGCGAGGGCAGUGAUCCCACAUCCAGAUUAACAGCGCCUCUACAAGUUCUGCAGCUACUCUCUGGAUGGGCACCACUGCGGAUCGUACGUCCAAAUGGAAUUUUCCGAAGCGGAACAUGGUCCAGCUGCUCCGAACAUGAUAAAUGUAGGCGGCGAGAUCAAAUAUACCUAAAUAGCGAGUGCCUGAUUGAAAUAAUUCCACACCCGGUGUCUCUUCCACUCCUGAGAAUCCCCAGUGGCUAUACUUCAUAGCAGAUGUGCCACACCUUUUGAAAAAUAUACGAAAUGCACUGCAAACGCUGGACAUAUAUUUGCCAGAAUCUGUGGUCCAGCAAGAGAACUUGCCUACUCGUCAGGUGUCCAUGUCACAUCUUCGGUAGCUGGUGAAGUACCAGGAUGAGUAGGUAUUGAAACUGGCACCGAAGCUCACGAACGCCCAUGUCAACCCAGGCAAUUUUGAAAAGAUGAAGGUGUCGCUGGCUGCACAGCUGUUUUAUACAGCACAGCUUUGGGACUGAGUGUGUUAGUGGAGUUUGGCAUCCUACCUAACGAAGCCAAGACAACAGCAUGGUUCUGCCGCUUUGUCGACAAGCUUUUUGACAUACUCAAUGGCCGACACUACCACGCAGGACUUUU